rnacentral:misc_RNA from 1 species
UCUCCGUUGGUGAACCAGCGGAGGGAUCAUUACCGGGUUUCGCAACUCCCACACCCCGCGCGAACGUGCCCCGACGUUGCUUCGGCGGGCCGCCCCAGGGCGCCCGCCGGGGGACCCAGAGACGCCUGUCUGUGCCGUCGAGUUUUUCCGGGUGAGCGAGCAGAAUGAACCAAAACUUUCAACAACGGAUCUCUUGGUUCUG